rnacentral:rRNA from 1 species
GAUGAACGCUAGCGGCAGGCUUAACACAUGCAAGUCGAGGGGCAGCGAGGGUAGCAAUACCUGUCAGCGACCGGCGCAAGGGUGCGUAACGCGUGAGCAACAUGCCCGUAUCAGGGGGAUAAUCCAGGGAAACUUGGUCUAAUACCCCAUAGUAAUGUUUUCAGGCAUCUGGAGAUAUUUAAAGCUUAGGUGGAUACGGAUUGGCUCGCGUGACAUUAGUUAGAUGGUAGGGUAACGGCUUACCAUGACUAUGAUGUCUAGGGGUUCUGAGAGGAAGGUCCCCCACAAUGGGACUGAGACACGGACCCGACUCCUACGGGAGGCAGCAGUAAGGAAUAUUGGUCAAUGGAGGGAACUCUGAACCAGCCAUGCCGCGUGCAGGAUGAAAGCCCUCUGGGUUGUAAACUGCUUUUAACAGGGAAGAAAAUGCUAUACGUGAUAUAGUACUGACGGUACCUGAGGAAUAAGCACCGGCUAACUCCGUGCCAGC